GACGAACGCUGGCGGCGUGCUUAACACAUGCAAGUCGAACGGAAAGGCCCUGCUUUUGUGGGGUGCUCGAGUGGCGAACGGGUGAGUAACACGUGAGUAACCUGCCCUUGACUUUGGGAUAACUUCAGGAAACUGGGGCUAAUACCGGAUAGGAGCUCCUGCUGCAUGGUGGGGGUUGGAAAGUUUCGGCGGUUGGGGAUGGACUCUCGGCUUAUCAGCUUGUUGGUGGGGUAGUGGCUUACCAAGGCAUUGACGGGUAGCCGGCCUGAGAGGGUGACCGGCCACAUGGGGACUGAGAUACGGCCCAGACUCCUACGGGAGGCAGCAGUGGGGAAUAUUGCACAAUGGGCGGAAGCCUGAUGCAGCAACGCCGCGUGCGGGAUGACGGCCUUCGGGUUGUAAACCGCUUUCGCCUGUGACGAAGCGUGAGUGACGGUAAUGGGUAAAGAAGCACCGGCUAACUACGUG
rnacentral:rRNA from 1 species